UUAACAGAAAUCAUCAAAUGCAACCAGAAGUUGUCAACUAAUUUAAAGGACACUGUGUUCUGUUCCUGUUGUGUUUGAAGAUGACGACCUUCAGGAUGUCAGGGCCUCCAUGGAGAGACGGCAGCAAGAAGAGGACGACCUGAGCCUCGGUUCCCCCGAGCGGUUUGGGUCGGUCCGGCACGCCAU